UAGGGAAUCUUCCGCAAUGGGCGAAAGCCUGACGGAGCAACGCCGCGUGAGUGAUGAAGGUCUUCGGAUCGUAAAACUCUGUUAUUAGGGAAGAACAAAUGUGUAAGUAACUAUGCACGUCUUGACGGUACCUAAUCAGAAAGCCACGGCUAACUACGUGCCAGCAGCCGCGGUAAUACGAAGGUGGCAAGCGUUAUCCGGAAUUAUUGGGCGUAAAGCGCGCGUAGGCGGUUUUUUAAGUCUGAUGUGAAAGCCCACGGCUCAACCGUGGAGGGUCAUUGGAAACUGGAAAACUUGAGUGCAGAAGAGGAAAGUGGAAUUCCAUGUGUAGCGGUGAAAUGCGCAGAGAUAUGGAGGAACACCAGUGGCGAAGGCGACUUUCUGGUCUGUAACUGACGCUGAUGUGCGAAAGCGUGGGGAUCAAACAGG
rnacentral:rRNA from 1 species